GGAACUAAAAUACAAGCUAAAGUGCUCUAAAUUUUCUUCGUUGUACAUAUUGGAAUCUGAGGCCAUUUGUUAGCUAGAAUUUUAGCUAGGAUUUUAAAUGUGAUCCGUAUAACUGGUUUAGGUAAAAGACUCACUUAAAAUUCAUCAGACCUUUGCACCUAGUGAAGGAAGCAGUGUGUAACUGUAUUUAAAGCUAUUGCUCUUUCUAAAUUGUGCUUUUAAAUGUUCCAGAAGCAAGGUCCCAGUAAGGAACCAUUUUUGUGGAGCACAGCUAAGCCAGAGAAGUCAUGUGGUAUAGCAGGCAACUCCUGGGCACUGGGAAGAGGACUGUUUGAAUGAACCAGCAACUUGGUUCCUCAGCCCUGUGCCAGAAGAAGGGGAUGCCAUGGUAAAUAAGAAGCAGAUGAACAAAAGUCAAUGAUAAUCUGUGCUAGGUUUUGGAGAAACUCUAAGGGACCAGGAGAGAGAAAAACAAUGGAUUUGGGAAUGUGCAUGCAGAUUUCAGGCUGCUUCUAAACUCGAGGCCUGGCCCUGUUCUGAUCACUUGGAGGAAACCGUUUUAAAAUAUGCCCAUCACAGUGGUUCCUGCACAGACGUUCAUUCAAGCUGCUUAGUAACCACCAUCACUGCAUCCAUGUGCUCCAGAAAGUUUCCAACCAUAAGGAAAAAAAAAAAAAGAAAAUCAUUGCUUAGCCAUGAAAUUAAGCCCUGGAAAACCAUAAAUUCAUUGGAAAUUGGAUGCAGGCAAUUACAAUAAAGAUACCAGAGUAGCAAAAGGGUGAUGGAGAUGCAACUGGGAUUUGAUUUGGAAGUGAUGCAAGAAAAAAAAUCAAGGAAAGAAAGACAGAGCUCCUCGUCUUGACCUGUUGCAUCUAAUUCCUUGCUUCCCUGAACCUGUUUCAUUCUUCUCCAAGGAAAAAUUGAUAGAUGAAACUAAGCUUCCUUCUUGCCCAAUGUUUGAUGUAAAGAAAUUCUCAAAUCCUGUAAUUAUCCCAAAUGUGCCAUAGCACUUUAGUUUCAACAAAGGGUUAGCAAUCCUGACAGGUAAGAAGAAAUGUGUCUGUUAAGGAGAGGAACAUGGAUGAAUAAAAGAAAGAAAAAC
rnacentral:lncRNA from 1 species